GACGAACGCUGGCGGCGUGCUUAACACAUGCAAGUCGAACGGAAAGGCCCUGCUUUUGUGGGGUGCUCGAGUGGCGAACGAGUGAGUAAAACGGGAGUAACCUGCUCUUGACAUUGGGAUAACUUCAGGUAACUGGGGCUAAUACCGGAUAGGAGAUCCUGCUGCAUGGUGGGGGUUGGAAAGUUUCGGCGGUGGGGGAUGGACUCGCGGCUUAUCAGCUUGUUGGUGGGGUAGUGGCUCAACAAGGCCUUGACGGGUAGCCGGCCUGAUAGGGGGACCGGACACAUUGGUACUGAGAUACGCCCCAGCCUCCUACUGGAGGCAGCAGUCGGGUAUCUUGCACAAUGGGCGCAAGCCUGAUGCAGCAACGCCGCGUGCGUGAUGACGGCCUUCGGGUUGUAAACCGCUUUCGCCUGUGACGAAGCGUUUGUGACGGUAAUGUGUAAAGAAGCACCGGCUAACUACGUG
rnacentral:rRNA from 1 species